rnacentral:rRNA from 1 species
AGAAUCAACGCUGGCGGCGUGCCUAAUACAUGCAAGUCGAACGCGAAAGUCCCGCAAGGGAUGAGUAGAGUGGCAAACGGGUGAGUAACGCGUGGGUGACCUGCCUUCGAGUGGGGGAUAACGUUUCGAAAGGAACGCUAAUACCGCAUGACAUCCUGCUUUUUAACAGGCGGAGAUCAAAGCCGGGGAUCGCAAGACCUGGCGCUUGAAGAGGGGCCCGCGUCCGAUUAGCUAGUUGGUGGGUAACGGCUCACCAAGGCAUCGAU